UACACACACUUCAAUUUCCCCAAAUUAAAUCUCAAAAUCGCAUCGUGUUCAAAAGCACAAUCAUUCUCCAAAAUUCAUCUUCUCCCAUUCUCUUCUACCUUUCGAAUUGUCUCUUUCAAUCCAAGGGUUUAACCAAACCCUAACCCUAACCCUAAAAUCCCCAAUUUUUCUCUCUCGAUCUUACUCUCACUUUCUCAAUCUCAGUAAUUUCAAACCGAUUCUAUAUCACUGCAUGCUCUUAGAUCUAAUCAUUGUCUCCCAAUCACUGAAGUGAUCUUGGUGAAGUUUAUUAAUUAGGGUGAUUUUGGGGAUGAUGAAUGAUAGGGAUUUGGGAAAUUUUGAUUGGGUUUUAAAGUGAUAUGAAGUGCUGAAUAUGAGCAAUGGCAGUGGGAAGACUGGAAAACAGCUUGAACAGCAGCCUAACACCACGACGAGGAGGAGGAAAGUCGGUGGCAGUGAUGAAUUUGCGCAAUCUAUUGCGAAGAUUGCAGUAGCGCAAGUAUGCGAGAGUAAGGGUUUUCAGGGGUUUCAGCAGUCUGCGCUUGAGACGUUAUCGGAUGUUACUGCUCGGUAUAUUAUGAAUAUUGGGAAGUCUGCGGGUUGUUAUGCGAAUCUUGCUGGUAGGAAUGAAUGUAAUAUUUUUGAUGUUAUUCAAGGGUUGGAAGAUGUGGGGUUAAUGCAGGGUUUUACAGGGGCUUCGGAUAUUGAUCAUUGUCUUGAAGAUUCGGGUGUUGUUAGGGAGAUUGUUCAGUUUGUUAAUGAGGUUGAACCGGUUAUGUUUGCACACCCGAUUCCUCCGUUUCCGUUUGUGAAAGAGCGGGUGUUGCCUCUGAGUUUUUUGCAAAAAGGGGAAGAGCCUCCUGAUGAGCAUAUUCCGGCAUGGCUGCCUGCAUUUCCUGAUCCGGAAACUUAUUCGCAGUCAACUAUGGUGAAUGGAAGAGGGACAGAACCAGGUGUUUCUAAAUUUGAGCAGGAAAGAGAGAAUGGAAAGGCGGAUCGGCCGCUGUUGAAUUCGCAGCAGAAGAUGGUCUCGAAUAUGUUUGAAAACAGCACCAUGAUUGACCCUGCAAUUGCUAAAGCAAAGACAGUAGCAGCAGAAAGUAACCCUUUCCUUGCCGCGCCGUUGAAAAUUGAGGAUAAAGAAGUUGCUUCUGUUGCCCCUCCGGCUAAAUUCUUUAAUAAUAUUGUAGCUUCUGAUGUUCCUAUUGUAGAAAAUUUUAUUGAAAAAGAACCCAUUUCGGUAUUGGAGACAUUUGCUCCAGCAAUUGAAGCGAUAAACAGCACAUGCGAUGAUUCCAAGGAAGAUCAACCUAAAUUUCCUGUGAAAGAGAAGCCUACUGUACGUUUUAAGGUUGGGACUAGAAAUAAAUUAUUUGGAAGGUCAAUUGGUUUGAUUCCACAAAAAGAGGAGCAUAAAAGGACUUUGCCCUGGUUUGCAAUGGAAGACGAGAAGGAUGAUAGGAAAAGAAGGGCCGAGAAAAUUUUAAGGGAAUCUUUGGAAAACCCAGAUCAGCUUGUUCAGUUGUAAAAUAGAUUGCUUUAUUAGAAUCUGUAUACUAAUGAGAAUAUCGGGAUAUUGAAAUCUGGCUAACUGUCUGGUUACGUGCAUUAUAGGAUGGAUGUUACUAUUUAGCUCAGACAUUUUUCUAGUUUAACAAUUUUUCAGUUUUCCAGUAGUACUGAUAAAUCAUUUGCAUUCAUCAAGUUUCAGGAGAAAUUCUCAUGCUUUAAGGAAGUUGUUGUAUAAAAGUGUAUCCUCUUUAAAUUACUAGUUGACAUGAAAUGUAUACAGAGCACCAAUCCUCUGACUCCAGCGUGUAUCGGGAAAUUAAGUAAGCUUAAUGACACAUUCUAAAUUGGAGCUAUUUGUUGUUUAUGAUUUGUGUAUCGGGAAAAAUUGAGAUUCAUGGCUAAGACGUGUGUCAAGCUACCGCUCCAGUUGGUAGCUUCCCCCGAAUACAUGAGAUUGGCCAUUUCAACUCAGUUCCAAAUAUAAUUGAAGUGUGUUAGUAAACUCGACGAAUUUUGUGAUA